rnacentral:rRNA from 1 species
AGUGAACGCUGGCGGUAGGCCUAACACAUGCAAGUCGAACGGCAGCACAGUAAGAGCUUGCUCUUCCGGGUGGCGAGUGGCGGACGUGUGAGGAAUACAUCGGACUCUACUUUUUCGUGGGGGUUAACGUAGGGAAACUUACGCUAAUACCGCAUCCGCCCUACGGGUGAAAGCAGGGGAUCUUCGGACCUUGCGCGAUUGAAUGAGCCGAUGUGGGAUUAGCUAGUUGGCGGGGUAAAGGCCCACCAAGGCGACGAUCCGGAGCUGGUCUGAGAGGAUGGUCAGCCACACUGGAACUGGGACACGGUCCAGACGCGUACGGGAGGCAGCAGUGGGGAAUAUUGGAGGAUGGGCGGAAGCCUGAUCCAGACAUAGCGCGUGGGUGAAGAAGGCCUUCGGGUUGUAAAGCCCUUUUGUUGGGAAAGAAAAGCAGUAGGUUAAUACCCCGCUGUUCUGACGGUACCCAAAGAAUAAGCACCGGCUAACUUCGUG